UUCGGAUUGUAGUCUGCAACCCGACUACAUGAAGCCGGAAUCGCUAGUAAUCGCGGAUCAGAAUGCCGCGGUGAAUACGUUCCCGGGUCUUGUACACACCGCCCGUCACACCAUGGGAGUUGGAAAUGCCCGAAGUCAGUGACCCAACCGAAAGGAGGGAGCUGCCGAAGGCAGGUUCGAUAACUGGGGUGAAGUCGUAACAAGGUAAC
rnacentral:rRNA from 1 species